UUAAAGGAGGAGGAUGGUUCAUGUUCCCUUAUGACAAGAUGUCUUCUGAAGAAAGUGUAUGUAAGGCAACCAGACAUGCUGUCAACAUUAGGACUGCUGGCCGUCUUUGGUCCUUUUUAUUCUGCGCACACAAAGGAGUGAUUGGAUGGUGAUUUUACAACAAUCAUCACUCGAGCUGAACUCAUUCAAUAUAUUCUGCCUGAGGAAAGGGAUGAAACCCUUGAAAAAAAGAGAUGAAACUAGAAGACGACUAGCAGAGUCCAAAACUCGAUUAUGAUCAAUGGAGAAGUCUAGUGUGGAGAUUUAGACAUUUGGGGCAUUACUUUCAAUAAAAGUUGAACAAAUCAAA